rnacentral:rRNA from 1 species
CGACUCCAUGAAGCUGGAUUCGCUAGUAAUCGCGCAUCAGCCAUGGCGCGGUGAAUACGUUCCCGGGCCUUGUACACACCGCCCGUCAAGCCAUGGAAGCCGGGGGCGCCUGAAGUCCGGGACCGCGAGGACCGGCCUAGGGCGAAACUGGUAACUGGGGCUAAGUCGUAACAAGGUAGC